UAUACAACCGGGUACAGAGUGGGUUAUANNNNNNNNNNCAGCGGGGUAUACACCCGGGUACAGAGUGGGUUAUACAGUGGGGUAUACAGCCGGGUACAGAGUGGGCUAUAUUGCGGGGUAUACAACUGGGUAUACAGCGGGUAUACAACAGGGUAUACAACCGGGUACCGAGUGGUUUAUACCGCGGGGUAUACAACAGGGUAUACAGCCGGGUAUGGCAUGUGCCAGGGUUACUCUCGGGUACAAACCCGGGUGUACAUCAGGGUGAACGCCAGAGUAAAAAACAAGGUAUAAGCGAAUACAUUAGGGCAUACCCCAGGGUCAACGGCAGUGUACAGUAUAUUCCAGGGGUACAAACCAGGGUAUGUCCCGCCGUAUAAACCUCUUGAGGUUAUUGCCUGUGUCUCUUCAACUUCAUUCCUAAACUCUUCUGGCACAAAUCCCAAUUCAAUCAGGUAAAGAGUAACUGCCGCUGUACUCCUUUUUACCCAUCUUACACUUCUCUCCAUUACUGAGUCAGCAUCAGCUAAAGUAGGACGUAUUUAUCACUUUAUACGGACAGGAGGCCUGCAUGAAUAUUCACACACUGAGGAUAUGUGCAGCAUCAGUGGGAUUAUACAUUCGUAUCCUAGUUACAUGGAAAUGCAACAGUGCUGCUCGCUGCAUGCGCUCAACAUGUCUCAGUGGAACUUAAUGCAUUUCCCUUGUCCCCAUUGUGAUCUAGUUAACUGUUAAUCAGCUUGCCGGAAUAUCAAUUAGAGUUGAUUAUUUAUGAUGCGCUUAAUUAAGUUCUUCUAAAUUGAGCGUGAUGUUGUGGAGCUGGAAGCGGAGCACUCAACGCCUCCUCACAGUGGAGCAUUAAUCAUUCCCACACUCCUCUUCUCCUCUCUGUGUGUAAGACAGCAAGAGGCAGAAAGGGGGAGGAAGAGUCGAGCGCUGGCACGCAAACACCGCUGCUGCUGCUGUAGUUGUUGCUGCUGUAGUUGGUACUGUAGUUGCUGCUGACGCUGUAGUUGCUGCGGCAGUAGUGGCUCCUGCUGUAGUUUCUGAUGUAGUUGCUUCUGUAGUUGCUGCUGACGCUGUAGUUUCUGAUGUAGUUGCUUCUGUAGUUGUUGCUGCUGCAGUUGUCCCUUCUGCUGUUGUUGCUGCUGUAGUUGGUACUGUACUUGCUGCUGACGCUGUAGUUGUGGCGGCAGUAGUUGCUCCUGCUGUAGUUGCUGUUGCUGACGCUGUAGUUUCUGAUGUAGUUGCUUCUGUAGUUGCUGCUGCUGCAGUUGUUCUUCUGCUGUUGUUGCUGCUGUAGCGGUUGCCGCCGCUGUAGUUGCUGUUACUUCUGCUGUAGCGGUUUCUGUUCUAGUUGCUGCUGCUGUAGUUGCUGUUGUUGUAGCUGUGGCUGCAGCUGCCGUGUGAGAUGUAGAGAAGGGGAGCCCGGGUGAGAAGUUCAAGCAGGCCCUGAGGAGUAUUGGGCUUUUUAAUUCUACCUGGAUCCCUUGCUUAGGCCAGUGGUCGGCGCGGUGAAAGAGCAAAGUGCUCCUGCUGAGCUCUCUGAAGUAUGAAAUUAAUUCAUUGGUGAGGCUGCUUUAUUGAAGAAUGUGCAGAUGUAGCCACAGUGGGAGCCCCACUUUCUGCGCUGUACUAUUGCUCCACCCCCCCAAGAGAAUUUUGUUUUGGAAAAUCAUGAAAUUCCCCUUCAGUGUAUGAAUUUGUCAGGAGGGUGGGGGGGGGGGGGGGGGGGUACCAAACUGGAACAUCUGUCGUGAACUCCUCCAGCUGUUCUCUAUCCCACUAUUACACAAAUAAUCAAAAUGAAACAAAUUGCUUGACACACACUUUUUUAGCAGCAACAACUACAACAGCAACAUGUAACUGACACAUAGAAAUGACAAGCCCUGUUCAUGACAGUAACAGUAUCAUGGUAAAUGUGCUGCCGUACUUAUGGACCAACCGGCUUUGGUGUCAUUCUGUCCAUUCAAAUGGGAGAAUUGUAACCUUGUAAACUGAAUAUGUGAAGACUUUGAAGAAUUGCUAGUCCAACUCCAGUCCCAAAUAUUUGAGCUAGAGUCCAAGUCUAAAUUCCUUGAGCUUGAGUUUAUUUAAGUCUAAGGUCCCUUAGCGGGAGUCCAAAUCAUGUCUCAAGUCUUUCAGCCGGAGUCCCAGUCAUGUCUCAAGUCUCUAAGAUUGUGUUAAUCAAGUCUCUAGUCUGUUAGCUUGAGUCCAGGUCAAGUCUCAAGUCUUUCAGUCUGAGUCACGGUCAAGUCACAAGGUUGUAAGAUGGAGUCCUAUUCAAGUCUAAUGGUCUUGAACUAGUGUCCAAUUCAAGACGAGCCUUUGAACUCAAUCCCCAGACAGAUCGCAGGUGUUUAGGCUUGAGUCCAGGUCCAAACUCCUUGAGCUUGAGUUUAUUUAAGUCUAAGGUCAUUUAGCGGGAGUCCAGAUCAUGUCUCAAGUCUUUCAGCCGGACUCCCUGUCAAGUCUCAAGUCUCUAAGAUUGUGUUAAUCAAGUUUCUAGUCUGUUAGCUUGAGUCCAGGUCAAGUCUCAAGUCUCUAAGAUAGACUGAAAGACUUGACACUUGAUUAAGGCUGAGUCCAGGUCAAGUCUCAUGUCUCUUAGAUAGUGGUAAUCAAGUCUCUAGUCUGUUAGCUUGAAUCCAGGUCAAGUCUCAAGUCUUUCAGUCUGAGUCACGGUCAAGUCACAAGUCUGUAAGAUGGAGUCCUAUUCAAGUUUAAUGUUCUUGAACUAGUGUCCAAUUCAAGGUCAUUUAGAGUCCAAAUCAUGUCUCAAGUCUUUCAGCCGGACUCCCUGUCAAGUCUCAAGUCUCUAAGAUUGUGUUAAUCAAGUUUCUAGUCUGUUAGCUUGAGUCCAGGUCAAGUCUCAA
ensembl:lncRNA